GCUGCCAAUCUAUCUACUGCUGCCAAUCUAUCUAUCGCUGCUAAUCUAUCACUGCUAAUCUAUCGCUGCUAAUCUAUCGCUGCCAACCUACCUACCGCUGCCAAUCUAUCUACCGCUGCCAAUCUAUCUACCACUGCCAAUCUAUCUAUCGCUGCUAAUCUAUCGCUGCUAAUCUAUCGCUGCUAAUCUAUCGCUGCUAAUCUAUCACUGCUAAUCUAUCACUGCUAAUCUAUCGCUGCCAAUCUAUCUACUGCUGCCAACCUAUCUACCACUGCUAAUCUAUUACUGCUGCCAAUCUAUAUAGAGUAAAUCAUGAUUCCAUUUGAUCCCAUUUUGUAAAAUAAAAUCAAAUGGAAUCAGAAUCACUAAUUUAUUAGUAAAACAUGAUCUGAGACUAGAUUUUUAAUAUAAACAGUGUAAAGUGACUAAUUUACUAAAUACUAUAUGAAAUCAGAACUAAAAUAUCUAAUAAUGAAACUAAGGAAAAAUUU
rnacentral:sRNA from 2 species